UGAGGUCGAAAAUCAGAGACUCGUAUAACGCUGGGAAUAUGGCUCAGCGGUCUCUACCGGGCGACCGAGAAUCGCCCGACUACGAGGUCGGAAUCAGGCGGC
rnacentral:ncRNA from 1 species